CGGUGAACCCGGCAGCGCGCUCGAACUGGGUGAAAGGCUGGGAAGCAGACAGGCGCGAGGCGGGACCGCGACACCCGCGAGCGCGCGCGCGCGCGAGCGCGAGGCAGUAAACUGAAUAUCACUCGGAGCGAGCGAUUUAAACGUGUCGACCCUGGGAAAUUAUGAUGAGCAAAAUAUAAUCAUUGGCUGCAGGCUGAAUGGUUUUGUAUGCGUCGUAUCCACCUGAGUGAGUAUAUUGUGCUGAAGCUGAUGUGAGACUCAUGUAAAAUGUAGAUGUAAACACGAGUGUGUGGAGGAGGGCCGAACCACAGGAGCGCCACAUCCUUUUCUCCGCAGAUUAUAAACAACAUGCACGUCUUUCCCCGCACAGGCGGACGGAGGAUAAAAGGAGGGACGACGGGCGAAACCGACAUUAGACGAGACUGGAGUGUGGAGACGGCUUCGGGCCGCCGGUUAGCUUCCACGCUAACUCGAGCGUGUGUUUGUGACUUUCGCAGCAGACGGGUUCCCGCAGCACGUGCAAAAGGUCAACGCUCAAGAAAGAUUAAAAAUGAAAGUGUGAAGUCGGUCCUCAGCAUUUCUCCCCUCACGUGCUGCACGGACUCGGACUCGGACGCGCGCCCGUUCAGUACCGCCGAACAAACGGAGGAGGAAAUGAAGGAUCAAGACGAGACAAAGGGACAAACAAAAGCUCAGAUCCUGCCGCUCGGAGGCCCUCAACACAUUUCCUUAUUGUCUUCUUCCUGUAUCAUUUUAUUCUCUGCUCUCCUGCGAGUCCAUCUACCUCCCCCGCCCUCCUCCUCACCCCCUCCCCACCGGGCCGAUGAACCCGGGGACUCCUAUGCGUCGAGGUUGUAAACAGCCUCUCCAAUAAAAAGUCCAGGGCGGGGCUAGAAGGCAGCACCACCACCACCGCCGCCGCCCUCCCCCCACCCCCUCACACACUCGUGCACACGCCGCCCAGCGCCGGCUCCUUUGUUGUGGCUGCACGUUAACCCUUUAAGCUGCUGCAAGAGGCUGGAGGUCGAGCCGCACCGCCGCCAGCAGCAAUGUGACAUGAACAAACAGGAGGAGGAGGAGGAGGAGGAGGGGGGCAGGGAGGAGGAAGGUGGAGGUGAUGGUGGCCCGUGGCGAUACGUCACCCUGUCUGAUAGAGGCAGACAAAGAGCUCCUUUCAUUCCCCCCAACGCUGUUUGUGAUGCUUCAGCUAUCGGCGUUUGACUGACGGGAGAGAUCUCCUCUCGCGGCCUGCAGCUCGCGCACAAACCCGAUAAACAGCUUCAUUAUUCAAAGUAAAUUAGCUCAACAUGCUGCUGCUGUAACUGUCUGCAGAGCGAGAGAGAGCGAGAGAGAGAGGGGUGAAGUCAGAAAACUGGGACAAAAGCAGAUCUGGCAGCAGGCAGGGGUGACGCGAGUUCAUUUUCAUUUUCAAGUUCAGUGAGGUUGUGAAAUAAAAAAAGGAAAAAGCAAAAACACACAGGCGGUCCGUCCACACGAAACGGUUUCCAGGCAGAAAACACUGCCAGGACUCCUUGUGCAGGAGGAAACCAGAGAAGAAGAAGAAGAAGAAGCAGCAGCUCGGGAAGCUGUUCGCAGGACGAACCUGCAACAGACUCCCAUCGCUCACUGAACUCACGACGGGAGAUGCCGCACUGCAUUGUGGGAGGAGAAACAUUUCUCCUUCUUCCCGUUCUGUAAAACUAAAGACGCACUCCUUAACGUUGUUACAGCCCCCAAACGUUAUCAGUUAUUGGUUUAUUUCACAGUAAAUGAGUUUUUAUCCGUCGUCCUGUCGAAACAGAAGAUUAAAAUGACAAAGUUGUUGUUGUGAUUAUAAGCAAGUAGAGCAACAAUAAGACGCACCGACCUUUAAAGCAUGCAACACACAGGCUCACAGUACAAGACGUUCAAAACAACGAAGAGGGGGACGUUCGUGUUGACGAAACACUCAACAGUAGCGUUUUAGCGACACAGCGACCGGUCCGGCUCCGGACCUCACCGACCGGUCCGGACCUCACCGACCACCAGCCAGUCGGAGCUCUGUAGGUGUGAUUACGAGCCAGAAAGGAGCCGACAGAAAAGUCGGCAACAAAAACAGUGACGAGCGUCGGGAAACGCCUCUCGUUCACGCCAGCUUUUACGACGACACGAUUUUGCAGAGAAAUCGUUCAAAUGCAAUCACAACAAUCAGUGGAAUCGCUCGCGGCGACGAAGUAAAGCCGAGUUCAAAUUUUGCGGAGAAGCGAACGCGCCCCAACAGCGAACCGUCUUAACAGAGCCGAGCUCUGAUUGG